GAUGAACGCUAGCUACAGGCUUAACACAUGCAAGUCGAGGGGAAACGGCAUUUAGUGCUUGCACCGAAUGGACGUCGACCGGCGCACGGGUGAGUAACGCGUAUCCAACCUUCCCACAACUAAGGGAUAACCUGCCGAAAGGCAGACUAAUACCUUAUGUAAUCCUUUGAUGGCAUCAGAUAAGGAUAAAAGAUUUAUCGGUUAUGGAUGGGGAUGCGUCUGAUUAGCUUGUUGGCGGGGUAACGGCCCACCAAGGCAACGAUCAGUAGGGGUUCUGAGAGGAAGGUCCCCCACAUUGGAACUGAGACACGGUCCAAACUCCUACGGGAGGCAGCAGUGAGGAAUAUUGGUCAAUGGACGGAAGUCUGAACCAGCCAAGUAGCGUGCAGGAUGACGGCCCUAUGGGUUGUAAACUGCUUUUGUAUGGGGAUAAAGUCAAUCACGUGUGAUUGUUUGCAGGUACCAUACGAAUAAGGACCGGCU
rnacentral:rRNA from 1 species